GACAACGUGACAGAGUGGUCUAAUGCGCAUGACUCGAAACCAUAUCUCCAAGGAGGCGUGUGCUCGAAUCCGGCCGUUGUCU
rnacentral:tRNA from 1 species